rnacentral:tRNA from 1 species
UCCUUCGUGGUGUAAGUGGUAGCACAACAGACUCUUAAUCUGUUAGGUCAGUAUUCAAGUCCCUGCGAGGGGACCA